rnacentral:rRNA from 1 species
UACGUAGGUGGCAAGCGUUGUCCGGAUUUACUGGGCGUAAAGAGCGCGCAGGCGGUCGUCCAAGUCGCGUGUGAAAGCCCCCGGCUCAACUGGGGAGGGUCACGCGAUACUGGUCGACUCGAAGGCAGGAGAGGGUAGUGGAAUUCCUGGUGUAGCGGUGAAAUGCGCAGAUAUCAGGAAGAACACCAAUGGCGAAGGCAGCUCUCUGGGACGGUACUGACGCUGAGACGCGAAAGCGUGGGGAGCGAACAGG